GGGGAUUUAGCUCAGUGGUAGAGCGCUUGCCUAGCAAGCACAAGGCCCUGGGUUCAGACCCCAUCUCCG
rnacentral:tRNA from 1 species